rnacentral:rRNA from 1 species
AGAGUUUGAUCAUGGCUCAGAACGAACGCUGGCGGCAUGCCUAAUACAUGCAAGUCGCACGAGAAAGUCCUUCGGGAUGAGUAGAGUGGCGCACGGGUGAGUAAUGCAUAGGAACAUACCUUUUGGUGGGGAAUAACCACGGGAAACUGUGGCUAAUACCGCAUGGCGUCGAGAGACUAAAGCAGGCCUCUAUUUAUAAGCUUGCGCCAGAAGAGUGGCCUAUGUCCCAUUAGCUAGUUGGUAAGGUAAUGGCUUACCAAGGCGACGAUGGGUAGCUGGUCUGAGAGGAUGAUCAGCCACACUGGGACUGAGACACGGCCCAGACUCCUACGGGAGGCAGCAGUAGGGAAUUUUGCACAAUGGGCGCAAGCCUGAUGCAGCAAUGCCGCGUGAGUGAAGAAGGCUCUCGGGUCGUAAAGCUCUUUCGGCUGGAAAGAAGGGAUCACUUGCGAACAGUCUGUGAUUCUGACGGUACCAGAAGAAGAAGGACCUGCUAACUACGUGCCAGCAGCAGCGGUAAUACGUAGGGUCCAAGCGUUGUUCGGAAUUACUGGGCGUAAAGCGCGCGUAGGCGGGUUUGUAUGUCGAUUGUGAAAUCCCCGGGCUCAACCUGGGAACUGCAGUCGAAACUGCAAAUCUUGAAUGUCUGAGAGGAUGGCGGAAUUCCCGGUGUAGUAGUGAAAUACGUAGAUAUCGGGAAGAACACCUGAGGCGAAGGCGGCUAUCUGGCGGUACAUUGACGCUAAGGCGCGAAAGCGUGGGGAGCAAACAGGAUUAGAUACCCCUGUAGUCC